UACGUAGGGUCCGAGCGUUGUCCGGAAUUACUGGGCGUAAAGCGUGCGCAGGCGGCUUCUUAGGCAUGCCGUGAAAGCCCCGGGCUCAACCCGGGAGGGUCGUCGUGAACCGGGGGGCUUGAGGCCGGUAGAGGUGGGUGGAACUCCUGGUGGAGUGGUGAAAUGCGUAGAGAUCAGGAAGAACACCCGUGGCGAAGGCGGCCCACUGGGCCGGUACUGACGCUGAGGCGCGAAAGCGUGGGGAGCAAACAGG
rnacentral:rRNA from 1 species